UUCUCCUGGAAAACGGGUGGUAAUGCCGGAUGCUCCGACUCCUCGCAUGGGGUGUCGGGAAAGAUUUCAUCGGUAUGGGAUGGGGUCGCGUCCUAUCAGGUAGUCGGCGGGGUAACGGCCCACCGAGCCUACGACGGGUAGCCGGCCUGAGAGGGCGACCGGCCACAUUGGGACUGAGAUACGGCCCAGACUCCUACGGGAGGCAGCAGUGGGGAAUAUUGCACAAUGGGCGCAAGCCUGAUGCAGCGACGCCGCGUGCGGGAUGACGGCCUUCGGGUUGUAAACCGCUUUUGAUCGGGAGCAAGCCUUCGGGUGAGUGUACCUUUCGAAUAAGCACCGGCUAACUACGUGCCAGCAGCCGCGGUAAUACGUAGGGUGCAAGCGUUAUCCGGAAUUAUUGGGCGUAAAGGGCUCGUAGGCGGUUCGUCGCGUCCGGUGUGAAAGUCCAUCGCUUAACGGUGGAUCUGCGCCGGGUACGGGCGGGCUGGAGUGCGGUAGGGGAGACUGGAAUUCCCGGUGUAACGGUGGAAUGUGUAGAUAUCGGGAAGAACACCAAC
rnacentral:rRNA from 1 species